GGUCAGGGGUUCGAAACCCUCGCUGUGCAAGUCGCUUGUGUCCUGGCAAGACACUUUAUCUACGUUUGUCUCUCUCCACCCAGAUGUAUAAAUGGGUACCAACAUAUGCUGGGAAGGUAAAACAGACUGCAGUGCAGGAGGAGUGGCGAACCCCCCACAUCCUUGCACAGUCUAGGCCAAAUGCUAAAGAAAGAGAAACAGGCACUCCGGCCUGCUUUAGGUUUCAAACCUUUACCGUUACUUGUGUCUAACUCAUAAACUUGUAUAAACUUCAGGGAUUUCAUAACUUAUUCUUAGUACUCCCGGCGAUUACACCAAUUAUUUUAUGAGCUAAGCUUGUAGCAUCUUGUGCGAUUCUGGAACAUAAACAAGCUUGGUGUGAGAGCUGCUUUUGUAAUGAUAAACAGAUAUUCAACCUGUGAUGGUACAAUGAUGGUUCCUUAUUUUAAGAGUAUGAAAGUUUUGACAUCAGAGCGAAUCCCAUAGUGAAGAAUGUGGAUGAGACAAGUAGUAAAUGUGGAUGUUAUUGUAGGUCAUUUGGAUGAUGGCCUCAUGAACUUUACUGAAAAAAGCAGUGUUUCCCAUUGCUAAUACCAUAAAUAAGAAAAAAACCAAAAUAUAGUGUAUUAUUUAUUAAGAUGUCUUCCAUUAUGUUUUCCAACAGUAUGUUAUAUCAAGUACGGAAGCUAUUAUUAAUAUGUUUAUCAAUAAGGUGGUUUCAUUACUGAUUUAAAAAAAAAAAAAAAAAAAAAAACCCUCCCUCCCUUCUAACUUUAAAAAUAAAUAAGGAUGAUUAACAACUCAUUUUUUACAUGGCAUUAUUAUUAAACCAUAUAGUCUCUAGUAAAUGAGGCCGCUAUUCAUUAUUUGUCUCAAGUGUUGGUUGCUUUAAACUUGCAGCUCUCAAAUUUUGGCCGAUGACGCAAACAAAAUGUCCAACAACACUCUUCCCGGGUCAUGUACUGGUAAACAAUACUAAGGAACAAUUUCAAAUACUGUACAAAGGAACAAUUUCAAAAUGAAACUUACAGUUCUAAUACAUUUUCUUUAGCAUGGAAAAUUUGAGCAGGUCUAGCGACCCUCUAAUUUAUAUAAUAUUGACCCAGUCUUCAUGACCAAUACAAUAGUUUGAGAACCAGUGCUUUAAACCAUUGCAUUUAUGUUUUUUUUAUCAAUGUAAUCCUCUUUAAAACAUUGGGGGCGCUAUUCAUUUUUUCUUACAUCUCAGGUGUUUGUGAUACUGUAGCACAUUAAUUAUGCUACACUUAGUAGCAUUGUAGACCAUUGCCUGGCUUACGCACUCUUUAUUGAGUGCAGUGCAUACCAAAUGUAAUUGGUGUUCCAUAUUCGAUUUAUUUUUGGAUAAAGGUCUGGGCAAACCAUGCCUGAUCGCUGUCGGAUAAUAUGUCCCUUAUCUGUCUCUAAAUUAGCCUACUCGUUGGUGG